GUGAGGAAUAUUGGUCAAUGGGCGAGAGCCUGAACCAGCCAAGUCGCGUGAAGGAUGAAGGUUCUAUGGAUUGUAAACUUCUUUUGUCCGAGGGUAAAAAAGGCCACGUGUGGCUUCUUGCAAGUAUCGGACGAAUAAGCAUCGGCUAACUCCGUGCCAGCAGCCGCGGUAAUACGGAGGAUGCGAGCGUUAUCCGGAUUUAUUGGGUUUAAAGGGUGCGUAGGUGGUUUGUUAAGUUUGUGGUGAAAGCGUGCGGCUCAACCGUACCAAGCCAUGAAAACUGGCGAACUUGAGUGCAAACGAGGUAGGCGGAAUGUGAUGUGUAGCGGUGAAAUGCUUAGAUAUGUCACAGAACCCCGAUUGCGAAGGCAGCUUACCAGCAUGCAACUGACACUGAGGCACGAAAGCGUGGGUAUCAAACAGG
rnacentral:rRNA from 1 species